CCUACGGGAGGCUGCAGUAGGGAAUCUUCCACAAUGGGCGAAAGCCUGAUGGAGCAACGCCGCGUGGGUGAAGAAGGUCUUCGGAUCGUAAAACCCUGUUGUUAGAGAAGAAAGUGCGUGAGAGUAACUGUUCACGUUUCGACGGUAUCUAACCAGAAAGCCACGGCUAACUACGUGCCAGCAGCCGCGGUAAGACGUAGGUGGCAAGCGUUAUCCGGAUUUAUUGGGCGUAAAGGGAACGCAGGCGGUCUGUUAAGUCUGAUGUGAAAGCCUUCGGCUUAACCGGAGUAGUGCAUUGGAAACUGGGAGACUUGAGUGCAGAAGAGGAGAGUGGAACUCCAGGUGUAGCGGUGAAAUGCGUAGAUAUAUGGAAGAACACCAGUGGCGAAAGCGGCUCACUGGUCUGUAACUGACGCUGAGGUUCGAAAGCGUGGGUAGCAAACAGGAUUAGAUACCCCGGUAGUC
rnacentral:rRNA from 1 species